AUUGACCGCUGGCGUACUGCUUUACACAUGCAAGUCGAACGGCAGCACUGACUUCGGUCAGGUUGCGUGUGGCGAACGGGUGUGUAAAGUACCGGAACGUGCCCAGUCGUGGGGGAUAACGUAGUGAACAUUACACUAAUACCGCAUACGAUCUAUGAAAGGAAGCGGGGGAUCGCAAGACCUCGAUCGAUUGGAGCGGCCGAUAUCGGAUUAGGUAGUUGGUUGGGUAAAGGCCCACCAAGCCAACGAUCUGUAGCUGGUCUGAGAGGACGACCAGCCACACUGGAACUGAGACACGGUCCAGACUCCUACUGGAGGCAGCAGUGGGGAAUUUUGGACAAUGGGCGAAAGCCUGAUCCAGCCAUUCCGCGUGCAGGAUGAAGGCCCUCGGGUUGUAAACUGCUUUUGUACAGAACGAAAGGGUUUCUACUAAUACUAGGAGCUCAUGACGGUACUGUAAGAAUAAGCACCGGCUAACUACGUGCCAGCCGCCGCAGUAA
rnacentral:rRNA from 1 species